AUUUCCUUUUGAGUACCACUUUUUUUCUUAAUAACAGAUUUUAGUGGCUAUACUGAUGGUACAGAUGAAAACUGUCAUAAUCUGAAAAGGGAGGAUUUUUGUGUGUGUCCUCCUCCUAUAUGAAAUGGUUCAAUAGAAAAAA